GACAAGGUGGCCUAAUGGUUAGCGUGUUGGACUCCGGAUCGAGCAAUCCAGGUUCAAGUGCUGGCCAGGGUCA